UAUUUUUUUUAUGUUUGUAUUUUUUUUGUACUUUUUACCUUUUUAUUCUUUUCUCGUUUUGUAUUUUUGAAAUUUUUAUGUUUAUAUUUUUUAUUUUUAUACUUUCUACCACUUCUUCUUUAUUUUUGUAUUUUUUUUAUUUUUUUGUUUGUAUUUUUUUAUUUUUGUACUUUUAACCUUCUUAUUCUUUUCUUAUUUUUGUAUUUUUGAAUUUCUUUGUCUUUUUUAACUUUUGUACUUUUUACCAUUUUAUUAUUUUUUAUUUUUCUAUUUUUUAAAUUUUCUUUGUAUUUUUUGUACUUUCCACCUUUUUUCUUAUUUUUGUAUUUUUUAAUUUUUUAUGUUUGUGUUUUUAUUUUUGUACUUUCUACCUUUUUAUUUUUUAUUUUCGUAUUUUUAGUUUUUUAUGUUCGUACUUUUUAUUUUUGUACUUUCUACCUUUUUACCAUUUUUAUUUUUGUGAUUUAUAUCUUUUCCUUUUUAUUUGUGUACUUUUUACCUUUUUUUUCUGUAUUUUUUUAUUGUUGUACUUUUACUAUUUUGGGGUUUUUGUUUGUAUUUUAAUGGUUCUGUAUUAUUUUUGUAUUUUUUUCUUUGUAUUUUUUCUUUGCAUUUUUUAUUUUUGCAUUUUUUCUCUGUAAUUUUUCUUUGUAUUUUUUUUAUUAUUUAUCUGUUUUAUUUAUUUAUUAUUUAUCCCCCCCACCCUUCUCAUGGCUUCCACCCCCCUGCCAAAAACCAAACAAAAAUAAAACAGGACACCCCUCCCACCGGCGCCAUCACCCCCCCCAGCUCCCGGAGCAGGCGUCCCGGGCCUUAUUUUUUAUUUUUAGCCGCCCGCCAUCCCCGGGGACCGCGGCGGCGGCGGCCCUAUGCAGCGGCGGAUGGGCGAGGCGGUGGCCAGGGUGGCCAGGAGGGUGAACGAGGCAGUGGAGGCCCGCGAGGACGCCCUGGGUAAGGCCGGGGCCCCCCGGGUGCAAGGGGGCGGCCAACGAGCCUCCGUGUCCCCCAGAAAUAAACCCCGGAGGCAGAUGGGGAAGGGAAAGGGGUCACAGCUCCCUCCCGAAAUCCUCCUCCUGCAGCAGAGAGGCCUGCUUGGGAAGAGGGGGUGAGGAAAAUGCGUGUCCCGUCCCCCUGUUCCCGUACGGGGGAGUGCAAAGAGGUUUUUUUUUGGAGGACGAGCGUGGUGUUUGGCAGCCUCCGGCCUGCACCUGCCCCCGGCCGUCACUCGGCUCUCCCCGGGGCAGACCUGGCCGACUGCAAGCUGGUGGCCUUCCCCGCUGGCAUCUACAAAGCCAUGAGGAGCGUCGCCGAGGGCAUCCACCGCAUCUCGCUGGCCAACAACGAGCUGAGGGCCCUCGCCGGCCGCUUCGCCACCACCUUCAGCCAGCUGCGAGAGCUCAACCUGGAGGGCAACCUCCUGCACCGCCUGCCCGAGGAGCUGGGGUCCCUGCUGCACCUGCGGGCCAUCAACCUCGCCCGCAACAAGUUUCGGCGCUUCCCCGAGCCCCUGGCGGCCGCCCCUGCCCUGGAGAGCAUCGACCUGGAAGGGAACGAGAUCGCAGAGGUGCCGGUGGAGGUUCUGGCCUCCAUGGCCUCCCUGCGGAGCCUCAACCUGCGCGCCAACCCCGUGUGCCCCGACAUGCGCCUGCUCGUCCGGCCCCUCGUCCCCUUCGAGCUGCUGCUGUCACCCGAGGGCGACGUCCCCGAAGCCUGACACGUCCUGCCAGGUGGAGGAGCAGCAGGACCUCCCCACGGCCUCCACCUGCUGAUACCGCCCGAUUAAACGGAAGUCCCCGCCACCGAGAUAUCCCCGGCGAAGAGGAGGACGCGUCCCCAUCCAGCUCGGAGCAGAGGGGCUGUUUUUUCUCACCCCUUCCUCCUGCUCCCUCCUCCCGGAGCA